rnacentral:misc_RNA from 1 species
AGAUUUAAAUGCGCAUGCGCAGUGUAGCAGAAGUAUUGAAGGGAACGUUCAGCAGUCAGGCGAAUUUUCGCUAAAUUUGCGGAUAAUUUAAUGUUGACACAACGUCCUGGCCACUAAAGAAGAGUCGGGAGGUCUUGUAGGGACGAUUAGUCCCCGCAUUGGCCAUCUACAUAAAACUUUAAAGCAGGAAUCUCGCUUAAUUCACGAACGAGAUGAGAAUGAUGAAGGUACGGCUUUUUGGUCGUUGACCUCCCUUAAUCGACUCCCUCUUGAUCUUUUGCUCUAUAUAUUUUUUUUAUCUUAAGACGUUUGUCCGAUUAUGUUUCCAAGUGUUCAUAAUCUAUGCAACGACAGAAAAAGAUCGAUCGAUGCCAAUUUAUCAUUUAUGAUAGCGUAGAAAGCGGACACCGCAAAACUGUUGCAAUACUAAUCAACUAGCAAAAUUUAAAGCCAAUUCUGCACUAUGGACAGGCUAUAUUGAAAAAUAAUCGAAAGAUGCUAAAGAAACUCGGAGGCAACCCGCGGAGUAGCUAGAUCCGCUCUUCGUCAGAUAAGGUGCCGGUAGCUCAGAAGGUAUGCCUGCAUUAAAUAGAAGCUUUAAUCCCGUUCCCGAAGAAUUGUGCCCCAUUUGUGGAGAUAAGACUUCUGGCUACCAUUACGGCCUCCAAACUUGUGAGAGCUGCAAAGGCUUUUUCAAGAGAACUGUCCAGAAUAAAAAAGUCUAUUCGUGCGUUGAUAAUCAGAACUGCCCGAUUGACAAGACUCAGAGAAAACGAUGCCCCUACUGCAGAUUUCAAAAGUGCCUAAAUGUUGGAAUGAAAUUGGAGGCUGUGCGAGCCGAUAGGAUGAGAGGUGGAAGAAACAAAUUUGGUCCUAUGUAUAAAAGAGAUAGAGCUUUAAAGCAACAGGCAUUACGUCAGCGCCAACAGCUCAUGUACGUUCAACAUUCAACGCCCAUGGAUCAAGCUAGCACUCCAGAUAUUAAACCAGAUGUAUCCAGGCUCUAUCCUCCCGUUCCAACAAAUAUGGCAUCAGGACCAACGUCCGCCUCGUUCUACGAAUCAUCCGCAAAUUUCUCCCCUACUGGUUAUCAGCCUCCCGACAUAACCGACCUACGAAUGCCGUCGCCAAACGUACCUGAGAUAGUUCGAACUUUAACUCAGGCUUGUUCAACGUGUGACGGUGAAGAAUUGAAAAUUAGACUUGCCAACACAAUUGAACAGGAAAUGAUGAAAUGGGUUUCAUCAAGCUCCUAUCCACCUUUCGUCAAUGAGCAAAAUGACUUAAGUUGCGAAAUAUUACACCUGUUGUGCAGGCUUGCCGAUUUGAGUUUAUUUCAUUUAGUUGAAUGGGCAAGACAAGCCAUCUUCUUCCGAGAUUUACAAAUCGAUGAUCAAAUGAAGCUUUUACAGACCGCUUGGUCUCAAUUACUUGUCCUUCAUUUCCUCUAUCGUCAGAUUCAAGCCGACAAGCAAGACGAACUCAUACUAGUACAUGGUCACUCGAUUUCAUUCGAUUUCAUCCGGCGGGUAGGUUUAACAGACUGGAUCGCUAUUUUAACAAAUACUACAAAGAAGCUUAGAGCCUUGAACAUUGACGAACAAGAUCUCGCUUGUAUUAGAUAUUUAGUACUCUUAGAGCCUGACGUUGCUGUUACAGAUGAAGCUAAAAUAAAGAUAGAAAAUUGGCAGGACCAAGUUAGCAGAGGAUUACAAGAAUACACAAUUAGUUGUUACUUCCAUGCCCACGAUAAAUAUCAGAAAUUAAUCCUCAUGCUACCUGAACUUAAGCAACUGGCCGUUAGAUGUGAGAACUACUUGUAUAAGCGUCAUCUAGAUGGUGAUGUUAAAGAACACAACUUGCUUAUGGAAAUGUUGCACUCUCAGAGAAAUUGAUCUGUGAAAAAUAGAAGAAAUUAUGUCUUUCUGAAUGGGUGAGAGAGUGCUCUUAAGAGUUUUUUCCUUUAUUUUGUGCCAUUUAUUUUUUUCAAUUAUCCGAUCCGUUUUGUUAUUUUAUGUACUCUUAUGUUAAUUAUGUUUUAUUUUUUUGUCAUUUUUUAAUUGUCAACACAUACUUUACAUAAGUCAUUUUUAUUAAAUACUGCCAUGUUUAAGCGGCUGUCGUAUCUCAUGGAUAAUGUUUUUGUUUUUUCUUUUUUUUCGCUAAAAAACAGUGGCCAUAUGUAUUUAGGUAUAUUCGUAUAUAUUCCCACAUAUAUCAAAUCUACUUUCACAUUAAAUAAAAAAACGUAUUAUAAACAAUAACA